rnacentral:rRNA from 1 species
GGACGAACGCUGGCGGCGUGCCUAAUACAUGCAAGUUGAGCGCUGAAGGUUGGUACUUGUACCGACUGGAUGAGCAGCGAACGGGUGAGUAACGCGUGGGGAAUCUGCCUUUGAGCGGGGGACAACAUUUGGAAACGAAUGCUAAUACCGCAUAAAAACUUUAAACACAAGUUUUAAGUUUGAAAGAUGCAAUUGCAUCACUCAAAGAUGAUCCCGCGUUGUAUUAGCUAGUUGGUGAGGUAAAGGCUCACCAAGGCGAUGAUACAUAGCCGACCUGAGAGGGUGAUCGGCCACAUUGGGACUGAGACACGGCCCAAACUCCUACGGGAGGCAGCAGUAGGGAAUCUUCGGCAAUGGACGAAAGUCUGACCGAGCAACGCCGCGUGAGUGAAGAAGGUUUUCGGAUCGUAAAACUCUGUUGGUAGAGAAGAACGUUGGUGAGAGUGGAAAGCUCAUCAAGUGACGGUAACUACCCAGAAAGGGACGGCUAACUACGUG